UAAACACGUAACCUCCCACCCAAGAGAUCACACUUGGGCCGUUGAUCUUUUAUCUAAUCAUUCGAUCUCGUCCGUCCAUUAGUCAUAACCCUUUGUGUAUAAAGAUAACGCGUUGAUCUCUAAAUUUUCCAUACCCGCUUUUCUUCCUCCUUUCAUUCAACUUUCGGUUCAUCAUUUUCUCCAGAUCUCUCAGCUCUUUCGGUGCAUAUGAGUCUUCUCGGUAUAGAUCGUCGUAGCUCAGCUCACGAUCUACGUAUCGACGUCGUAUCCACACGGAUCUAGUUACUCUGGUUCAUCCAUGGAUAGAAGACGAAUCGUAGCGGCUGCGAUCUCCGAGGAUCGGUUGAAGAGCUGAUCUGGAUCGAGAAAAAUCGGAAUCGAGAUUCGUCGAUUGCGUUUUGAUGAGUUGAUGAUUUCGCCAGUCAGUUCUCGAAGGUGGGAGAAGGAGAGAUUGAAGAAGAGCGAAGAGGAAGCAGCAGGAGAUAUGUUGUGGAAUUGAUAUGAUGAGUAUUGAGAUUUGAAGGAUGUAUGAGAUGUUUUUUUAGGGACGAUAAGUUCUGAUUAAACAUCUUUGUCAUCCGACCUUUGCCAUGACAGGUGCGCUUGCAUGGCAGGUCACCAAAAAAAUCCUUAAUAAAAAAAAAAAUAGUUUCGUGUUGGUGAGGGGAGUUCGCACGGGGAUAAUUCUUUUUUUAUUUUGCCCGGGUUCUCCCCUCCCCUUUUGUCUUGUUGCACUCGCUCUCACACUUGCUUGAUCUAUCUCUCUCUAUUCACAAAAUAUCUCACUAUCAUCCACACAGAAAUAUUUUGAAACGAUCCAGAUCGUUUGAACAGCUGAUCUGGAGACAAAACGGGGCAAUUCCUAAAUACAACUUCCUCCAUGGAGAAACUCGAAAGGUACUUCUAAUUUCAAUCUUGAAUUUUAAUUCUCCAUUUAGUUAUUUAUUCACAUCCUUUAACUCAUCUGACUCGCAAGUAUUCAUUUACCUCAAAUCGGCUGCAAUUUCAAUUUUGCUCAUCGAGAUAGAGAAAGAUCAUUACUACUCAAUAUUGAUAUGUAUCGAUGUUAAUUUGAAUUUCUUGUUUAUCAUUAUAAUAACACCGUGCAACAGUUGACUACUUUCAGAAUCGCCAUGAGUUUUUAUGUUAAUUAUUUUGUAUGUAUGAACAAUCUUUUUGAGAAAUUGUAUCCAGUUUUGUGGGAUUACAUAAUGAACAAUCAACAGAAAAAUUACUUUGCGCCGUACUGUAAACAUAUUGUACUAUAUUUAUGAUAUUUCUAGAGUGUUGUUGGGAAUGGCUUUGAUGACCUGGAUUUGCUCUCACGGCUCCACUGGGAGGAGCUUAGGAUAAGCAGCCACUAGAAGAAGAAGAAGCUUUAUUUACAUGCUCAAGGUAUCUAGAACAAGUAAUUUGUCCGUUUUGUUUCUUGUAUGAUGUCUUUUGGACACAAUUCAAGCCGGCAGCUCUUAGUUCCUUAACAAAAUAUUUUUGUUGUUGAUAGUUGAAGAAGCUCCUCGAUUUUGAGCUAAACUUUUAAUAGAUGUAUUGUGUGGUUACAAUGGUCUUUAGUCUGUUGCACACACACUAUGAUGGGAUCAACUCUUUUGAAUGAGAGUAAUUUCAGUUUCGAUUUAUGCAUUUAUAUUUAUUUAUACUUUGGAUCUACUGUAUAAAAUAAUUGCCAAAUGAGGUACAUGUUAAAGUUUGUUUGAUCUGUAUAAUCUAAUGGGUUUAUAUUAGACUUUUGCCGUUCUCUAGGGUUUUUUUUCAUCAUGGUGGUUGAAGUUGGGAAAGAUUGGAGCGACAAGUUAAUAAUAUAAUUCCUCGGAAGCCCACAGGGGUGGGCUAAAUCAAGUGGGCAAGAAAAGGAAGUCUUUU